UACAACUUAUUGUGGGACUAUGGGCAAGAACUCAGAAGAGCUAAUCCUGGCAGCAAAUUCAUAGUUUCCACUACCAAGGUGAAGGAGAAGAAUGAUGCACUGCCAAAGGAUCACCUGUCCUCACUCUAUUGGUCAUAUGAUGCUUGCAAGAGAGGUUUCCUAAAGGGUUGCAAGCCAAUUAUAUUUGUGGAUGGCUGCCAUUUGAAAAGUAGGUACAAAGGUAUACUGUUGACAGCUGUGGGAAUUGACCCAAAUGAUUGCAUCUAUCCAAUAGCUAUGGGAAUGGUAGAGAUUGAAUCCACUUACACAUGGGAAUGGUUUUUGACAACA
rnacentral:rRNA from 1 species